UUGAUUGAUUCAAAUUGAUACUCCGACGCAAAGACGCAAGAGUUUUGGUUGGGGUCCUCUGGGGCGCCGGUGAAGGCCACCCCGAGGCAACGCGGUACGGUCGACAAAGGGUUGGGAGGUCGGGCGCGCGAGGCGCCCUCUCUCGGUAAUGAUCCCUCCGCAGGUUCACCUACGGAAA
rnacentral:misc_RNA from 1 species